CCAACGGAAUAGGUUGAUUGGUAAAUCCGGAAAACCAAUUGGAAAGGUUCGUUGGUGAGCCCGUAAAACCAACAUAGGUUUUUGGUGAACCCGGAAAACCAAAGUGUAAAGGUUUUUGGAUUGUGAGCCCGGAAAACAAUCCAACUGUAAUCCGCGGGAUUAUAGUGAAUUUCCAAGGGGUCGCUUGGAGAGUGGACGUAGGUGCUAAGGAGAGCACCGAACCACUAUACUUUGUGUUGUUUGUAUUGUGAUUUGUUUUAGCUUACUAAUCAUUCAUUUAACU
rnacentral:lncRNA from 1 species